UUUAUUUUAAAAAUAAAAACAUUCGCCAAUAAAUAGGAAUUUAACUUCUCACGUUUCGAUUUCAUACCAUCUCCUAAGUUCUUUUAUUGGUUUAAGAAGGAUUUACUUUGAAAUUAAAAAUAGUUAAUUUUAACUAAAAGAUUAAUUUGACAAAUGUGGCAAAUGGCUCCCCUCAAACCAAAAAAAUAAAAAACUUGGCUAAUGAUGUUUAUACCACCUAGGAGCACCUAGACUUCCCUCGACUCGAAAAAACGUGAAGUAAGGAGGUAGUAAAAGAUAUACUACCAAACACAGGUAAACUGAAGUACUCCAAGGAACAUGAGAUUAGGGUCCCAGUCCUCUCACAUCCAGUAGUAAAAUUUCAAUUAAUUCCAGAUUUCACCCCUAAUCUAUCUUAUUCCAGUAGAAGAGGCACCAUCCAGCUAAGGAUUAAGAACGGAUAUAAAUAAGCCUCAACCUACUUACCAGCAUAUGUUGAAAAAGCACCUCCAAAAUAACCAAAAUAUCUAUGAGGGGAUCGAUAACUUCCCCACUGCAACGAAAGAAACUUCUGUCCAAAGGACAUAUAAAAAAAAGAAGAACAUUGUAGGACCAGUAAGGGCAUUCGACAAAAACUGCCAUAUGCUUUAAAAACAUAAAACCAAGAAGCCCCUCUAGUAAACUACCAAUAAAAUGAAAUGCUCAAUUAGCACAUUUAAAUAAUAUAAACCAGCUGGAGGAACCCAACGACCAGUUCGGGGGCGUGAGGGGAAAACUUGCUAUCUGAUCAUCCACCUAAAUAAUGUUUCAAGCGGGAACGCUGUUUUUGCCAUUCUUUGCAUUCAUUCUACGUAUCAGGUGUAUUUUGAUUUGAGGUAGAGUGAGUAUGGCAAUCAUUUUAUGGGAGAAUCGAAGCCAUUGCCAAAAACUUCUGUCAGUAGAACUGCCUUUUCCAAAAAGUAUUUUGAUUGAGUCAGAAAAAUUCCAAGCGCCACGUAGUGGUUUCGAUCCCAAACUGAAAAUACAUGUU